rnacentral:lncRNA from 1 species
AUGAUGGCAGUAAUAAGAUAAGGAGAUGUACUCUGAUCAUUUAUGCUAGUUCUUCCCGAGAGCCAUGUGGUGGAUAGUCCUGGACACCUGGCAUCUCUUAUGCCUCAGUUCUUCAACCACAUCCAGAGGAGUCCAAAUGAAUGAAAGUAUCUGAGAGCAGCUGCUCAGAAGAGGAAGGGCAUCAUGCUGAUCCCGACUGUGUCAAUUUGGGCAUCCUUUUCUGCCACUUCAACUUUCAAAAUCAAAUUGUUAUAAUCAAGAUGCAGAACAAGGAUCCAACGAGGGGCCAGCCAAGCUUAAUCUGCAGUUUUUCUUCCUUCUGUAUUUUUACAAAAAAUAAAUAAAAAGGAAGAAAAAUAAAUGAUUUUUUUUUCUAUUCCUUUUUCUCUUUCUUUCUAGCUUAAACAGCAAAACAGAAGACACAAGUUGACAUGUUUAAGUUGAUCAUGAUGAAUCUGAGGAUAAGUUGCUAUGCUCUGUUCUCUGAUAAAC